rnacentral:tRNA from 1 species
GGAGAGUUGGCCGAGUGGCCGAAGGUACCCGUCCUGAAAACGGGAGGACGAAUAGUCCCGGGGGUUCGAAUCCCCCACUCUCCG